UACGUAGGGGGCUAGCGUUGUCCGGAUUUAUUGGGCGUAAAGAGCGUGUAGGCGGCCAGAUAGGUCUGCUGUGAAAACUCGAGGCUCAACCUCGAGCUGUCGGCGGAAACCAUUUGGCUAGAGUCCGGAAGAGGAAAGUGGAAUUCCUGGUGUAGCGGUGAAAUGCGCAGAUAUUGGGAAGAACACCUGAGGCGAAGGCGGGUUGCUGGGCUGAUACUGACGCUGAGGCGCGAAAGCCAGGGGAGCAAACGGG
rnacentral:rRNA from 1 species